rnacentral:lncRNA from 1 species
GCGACACUGGCCCCAGCGGCGCCCCGGCCCGGCGCGGGGCAGCCCCGCGGGAGUUGUCCCGGUUGCUGCGUGGCGGGGCCCGAGCGGCCCGCGGAAGCCGGCACCGCGGAGCCGUGGGCACGGCUGCGCUGGCGCGGCGCCCGCGAGGCGCACCUGGAGCCCGGGCACCGUUUGGAUGCCUGGUGGCCCGGGAUGCGCAGCCUGUCAGGGGCGCAGCGGGGACGCCUCCUCCUGCCCGCGCAUCCUGGGAGUACCAUUAGUUACAUAUGCUUUUCUUUCUUUUUUCUUUUUUAAAGGAAGUUGGACCCCGAAUGUCUUAUUUUUCUUUUGUGGGAGCUCCGUUUGCCGGCAGGUGUCUUGGAGUCGAUGGACCGUGGUAUUCGUGCAAUUAAUUUAUCGAACGAACCUGGUUCUGCCUGAACCCACCCACCCGUCAAGACAGUGAAGGCAACACAGAAAGACGUGGAGGGCGGCUGUUCCCAGGUCCUGCCAGUCCUUGGGCCCCGUCCACCCCUGCGCUUUCCAUGGUUUAUUUAUGGACAUACGUGACCCCUCCCUCUUUUUUUGUGGAGCUGGUUCAGGGUAGUUUAAUGUCACUUGCAACCUAGAGAAUCCUGACUCAUACAGAAGCUUAUAAAGUGAUCAUAGACGACGUGGUGUGUGCAGGAGUUAAAACUCCCUUGCGGCCCAGGAGCAGCAGUGAGGAGAGGGGGCUCGCUCCGUCCGAGGCGUCGCCGAGAAGGAGGGGUUUAGACUUCGGCCCUCUUGACUUUCCCAGGUGAGGCCAGACCCUCCUCUGAGGUGCAGCCAGGGCCCGGACCCUGCCUACACCCAAGCUUCAAGUUACUCGUUCCCAUUCUCUCUUCCUCACCGCCUUCUGUUUCCUAGGCAGGACUCAGACCCAGUAAAUCCCUGUUGAACAAAUGGAUAAACGGGUUUUGAGGACUGAGAGGUUGCUCGUAGGCAGGAUGGAACGGGAGCUCCAGGAAGAGAAGCCAGAAGGGCUUGCUCUUCCUCGUCUUUUCCUUCUUCUUUUCAUGUCAGCGUGUGUUUUAAUUUACGUCUGGUGGUUCAUGGCUGUCGUUACGUUUUGCUGGUGUUGAACUUGUCCGGAACAGGCUGAAAUGCGCUCCUUCGGGCUGACCCCUGUGUUCCUUUGACACGGCCCCGCUGGUCUUAGGGCGCUGCCUUGACUUCUGGGCACCACGUGGCGUCCCAGACUCCCUCCCCUUGUUCACUGUAUACUCCACACCUGGAGUUAGCUGGUCUCCAGGAAGCCCUGCUUCCUUUUAAGAGGGACGGGCACUUGGAAAUGGUGGCAUGUUUCUAAGGGAGGAGAGUGAGAAGAUAACGCACUGGGUUAAAGCAGUAUUUCGUGGUCAGAGCUCUUGCUAUUUUGGUGACUCAGUUCCUCGUUCAGAGUCAGGGAGGGAGAGUUUCGGUGUGACAGCAGUCUGUGAGCUGUUUUUCCCCUGUGAGACUGGAUUUC